rnacentral:antisense_RNA from 1 species
CAUACUUUAGAACCACAUCGCCGAUUGUAGAUCCAGGUGCAGCAACGGUACGAACUUCACCAAUCGUGGGGUCAUAGAUACCGUGGAACUUGAUCCACAGAACGAAUAGCAAAGCACCCGUACCAAUCAACACGAGGUGAUGACCAAGGAUAUAACCGAGUUUCUUAGGAUCAUCCCA